rnacentral:rRNA from 1 species
CACGUAAGACCCUAGCGUUGUUCGGAAUUAUUGGGCGUAAAGGGCAUGUAGGCGGUCCGGUAAGUCAGGCGUGAAAUUCCGCAGCUCAACUGCGGAGCUGCGCCUGAUACUGUCGGACUCGAGUCAGUGAGGGGUGACCGGAAUUCCUAGUGUAGGGGUGAAAUCUGUAGAUAUUAGGAAGAACACCGGUGGCGAAGGCAGGUCACCAGCACAUGACUGACGCUGAGGUGCGAAGGUGCGGGGAGCAAAC